rnacentral:rRNA from 1 species
UACGGAGGGUGCGAGCGUUGUUCGGAAUCACUGGGCGUAAAGGGCGUGUAGGCGGUCCGCUAAGUCUGAUGUGAAAGCCCGGGGCUCACCCCCGGAAGUGCAUUGGAAACUGGCGGACUCGAGUCCCGGAGAGGAGAGUGGAAUUCCUGGUGUAGCGGUGAAAUGCGUAGAUAUCAGGAGGAACACCAGUGGCGAAGGCGGCUAACUGGUCCGGUUCUGACGCUGAGGCGCGAAAGCGUGGGGAGCAAACAGG